CAAUAGCGUAUAUUAAAGUUGUUGCAGUUAAAAAGCUCGUAGUUGGAUUUCUGGUAUGACGCACCUGGUCCGGGCCUUCGGGUUUCUGUGUACCGGUGUGCGUCUACCAUCCUGUCUGAGACUGUUGCCUACCCUUCACUGUGGCCGGGCGCACCAUCAGACUCGUUUACUUUGAAAAAAUUAGAGUGUUCAAAGCAGGCAUUGGCGCUUUGCAUACAUUAGCAUGGAAUAAUAAGAUAGGACUUCGGCUCUAUUUUGUUGGUUUCUAGGACUGAAGUAAUGAUUGAUAGGGACGGUUGGGGGUGCUUGUAUUCAACGGCCAGAGGUGAAAUUCUUGGAUUCGUUGAAGACAAACUUAUGCGAAAGCAUUCACCAAGGACGUCUUCGUUAA
rnacentral:rRNA from 1 species